rnacentral:ncRNA from 1 species
ACUGAUGUAUUCAACGAGUCUAUAGCCUUGGCCGACAAGCUUGGGUAAUCUUUGAAAUUUCAUCGUGAUGGGGAUAGAUCAUUGCAAUUGUUGGUCUUCAAU